ACGGGAGGCAGCAGUGAGGAAUAUUGCACAAUGGGGGAAACCCUGAUGCAGCGACGCCGCGUGGGUGAAGAAGUUUUUCGGAAUGUAAAGCCCUAUCAGCAGGGAAGAUAAUGACGGUACCUGACUAAGAAGCCCCGGCUAACUACGUGCCAGCAGCCGCGGUAAUACGUAGGGGGCAAGCGUUAUCCGGAUUUACUGGGUGUAAAGGGAGCGUAGACGGAAUAGCAAGUCUGAAGUGAAAUGUAGGGGCUCAACCCCUGAACUGCUUUGGAAACUGUUGAUCUUGAGUACCGGAGGGGCAGGCGGAAUUCCUGGUGUAGCGGUGAAAUGCGUAGAUAUCAGGAAGAACACCGGUGGCGAAGGCGGCCUGCUGGACGGUAACUGACGUUGAGGCUCGAAAGCGUGGGGAGCAAACAGGAUUAGAUACCCUGGUA
rnacentral:rRNA from 1 species